AUUUAGAUUGUCAGUCAACACAGCUCACUACACGUGGGUAGGUUUUAAGUGUUGCAUUUAUUGUACACAACAAAAAAUCAAUUAGAUUUUAAACUUUUUUGAAACAAAAAUGACACUACAAAAUUAUUUUCUUUUGGUCAUGAUAAAAAAAAAAAAUUUUAAAAAUGAUUAAUUACAUUGGAAUAACGACUGUCUCGACUAUAACAGAAUCGUUAUAGAUAUGUAUGCAUUGUUAUAGCAACUGUCUCGACUAUAACAAAAUCGUUAUAGAUACAUAUGCAUUGUUACGUUAGACAGUGUUCAAUAGUUAUGCAUUUCAGAAUAUUCUUACAUAUGAAAUAAUAUUUAAAUUCUGAUAUGCAAAUUUAACAAAGUUAUUAUUAAAAUAUCUAAUGAAAAUCAAAUUUUAUCAUCUAAAUAAUAAUUGUUAAUUUCAAUAAUAGGAACAGUAACUAGUACAGUUGGAGAACUAUGGCCCUAUAUCUUAAUGUAGUUUAUUCUGAAAAAAAGAAACAACAACGUUUUAUAGGCUCAAGGGUAAUCGUAACACAAGGGAGAUAAUUCUUCGAGAAAAGAAAUGUUAACAGAAAAAUUGUUAUCGUCCUUGCAUAUCUUAUUAUUGCAAUAAAAAGGUUAUGUGAAUUCAAUGUUUGUUAUAAUUCUAGAAGGGUAAAUUAACUAUUAAUUAUGUUGGUCAAUAUUUGAAUGACCCUCGUUUUCUACUUCGUCUGUUGAUUGCAAGACCACAAUACAUGUGGACCAACGACAUGACGUUGGUAUGAAGCAUCAUCUUGCCAUUUCUGCAAAGCUAUUUUAAAUUGAUAACAAAUGAGUAUAUAGGUGAAAUAAACUCCUCUAGAAUGAUGGAUACACUCUACAACGGGAGCCAAUAUACAGUUUCUCUGUGAUAUUUUCUGGCUCUGCCUCCCAUCGAACGUUUAUGGCACCAACAUACACAAGGUAAAAAGAAUUUACAGCUUGUAUCUUUUUUUUUAUAAUAAAACUUUUUUUUAUACAAGUAAAGGGGACAAGUUAAUGAUAAAAUAACUCAAAAUCAAUUGUCUGAAACCAAUAUAUACUAAUAUAUAUCACUUUUUUGAGCAUAUCUUUCUGUACAUAAUAUAGUGUGUGCAUGAAUCUGUGAAAAAUUAGGCUUGACCAUAGACAGAUACACAGCUCAGUCUACGUUAGGGAAUCUUAAGAUUGUUUCUAUGAUUGAUAGUCCUUGAAAGUUAUAAGGAUUUGUUACACUAUAUGAUUUACCCUGUAGUGGCUAAAAAGUGUUUGUAUAGACAGUCUUGCCGUAUUGAUUGGCAUUGAAAGAAAACCUACAUCAGUGGCAUUUAUGUUUCACUUGAGAUUGUCAUUUCAACAGUCCUCAAUUUCACUUUUUGUAAAGCAGCGUCAUUUGAAAAAGUGCCAAGUGUAGCUUGAACGUGUGUACUGAUUUUGAGUUAUGUCAUUAACAUAUGUCAUAUAGAUGUCAUUAGAACAAAUGCUAUGUGUUAUUAUAAGGCAUGUUAUAAAUCAUUAGAAAACGUGUCAUAUGUCAUUUGAACACAUGUCAUGUGUCAUAUAUCUUUAUCUCAUUUGUCAUUAGAAUGUGGGAAUAUGUCGUUAAUAUGUCAGAUGUCAUUAGAAAAUAGUGUCAUGUUGAUCGAUUGCUCCUGAUUGGGCCAAGCACCUGGCAGGGGCCACUCGCUUUACAUUUAGCAUAUCACUAUCAGCCAUGGCUCAAGGCUUUUAAAGAUGUGGGACUUAAAGGGUUAACAUAUUUAGUGUAUAGUACGAUUGACGUAGCUUUAAUUACCUUUAAAACUGGCACCUAUUGCAUUUGAGUUGCUUCCUAACCAUGUUGUAUAAUAAAUGUUGAUAUCAUAAUCUAAUAGUAAUGAUUUAUCAUUGUAAGCAAACAUUUAGAAGAGGGGCCUCGCAAGCACUUAUUGGGACCCGCAAUUUGUAACCCCUGUUAGCAGGUGUCAUAUGACACGUGAUAUACGCCUGACAUGUGCUAUUCGAACAAGUUUUCUGCUAAGAAAUAAAAAAGUGACUAUCUUUCAUAUCGCUGUGGUGAGGUAUCUAUCAAGAAGAAUGUGGAAAUUGGUUUCGUCUGUUUCAACUAUUUUAGUUUGGAUAGCAUCUUAUUUGAACGAUCUUGUUUACUUGGUUAUGGAACUCAAAUGGGACAUACACAAAAUGAAUACAGACGAAUAAACCAUACACAAAUAUAGCCUUUUUAUCAAUACAUCAUACAUAUAAUAACAUUGAUAUAUAUUUUCUCAUUAAUUAUAUUUGAUUGUAUAUUAAAUCACUUUUUAAGACCAAAGAGGAGCUUAUAAAACUUGAUCCUAUGUCUCCGCCCACUAAGGUUCAGUAGGUGCUCAACCCACAAUUAACCUCGCCAAUCAAAAGCUCUACCCAUAAUUAGCUCUACCUUAACCAUAACAAGUUUGACCAUUUAUUUUUUACCCUUAUAACCCACCUUCACUACUAACAGCCUAUGCUCCGGCCACAAAUUACUCCGCCUACAAAU